rnacentral:rRNA from 1 species
GUCGAACGCUGGCGGCGUGCUUAACACAUGCAAGUCGAACGAAGUGGCGAACGGGUGAAUAACGCGUAAUCAACCUGCCCUUCAGAGGGUGACAACAGUUGGAAACGACUGCUAAUACCGCAUACUUAAGGAGGGGAUUGCGUCGGAUUCGCUAGUUGGGGGGGUAACGGCCCACCAAGGCGAUGAUAAGUAGCCGGGUUGAGAGGAGGAACGGCCAAAUUGGGACUUGGAAACGGGCCAGACUCCUACGGGAGGCCGCAGUGGGGAAUUUUCCGCAAUGGACGAAAGUCUGACGGAGCAACGCCGCGUGAGUGAUGACGGCCUUCGGGUUGUAAAGCUCUGUUAAUCGGGACGCGGUACCGGAAUAGAAAGCAACGGCUAACUACGUGCCAGCAGCCGCGGUAAUUC